rnacentral:rRNA from 1 species
UACGUAGGGUCCGAGCGUUGUCCGGAAUUACUGGGCGUAAAGAGCUCGUAGGCGGUGUGUCGCGUCGGCCGUGAAAACCUGGGGCUUAACUCUGGGCGUGCGGUCGAUACUGGAUAGCUAGAGUUCGGCAGAGGGAAGCGGAAUUUCCGGUGUAGCGGUGAAAUGCGUAGAUAUCGGAAGGAACAUCAGUGGCGAAAGCGGCUUCCUGGACCAGAACUGACGAUCAGGCUCGAAAGCGUGGGGAGCAAACAGG